GGGGUAAUUGUUCCAAAAAUAGUUGUAACCUGGUUGUGUUCAUGGGAGGAGGUGAGUUCAGAGUCUGCUCACACCGCCACCUUGACGAGAUCUCCUGUCCUCACAAUAACCUUAUAAAGUGAGUAUUAUUAUUUGAACCUCAUUUUAUAGAGGAAGAAACUGAGACUUAGAGAAAUUAGGUUAAUUUACUGAAUGUCACACAUUUGGUAAGUGGCAGAAAUAGAGUUUGAACAUGGAAUUUGGGGCGAACGCAAUAAUGCCCCAAAAAGCCGCUCCUCUUGCGAAGGGCACUGAAGCCCUGCGGUGCUAACGCAGAGCCCAGCACAGGCAGAGUGGGUCUGCGCAGAGCACAGGGAAGACGACCUCCCAGGGUGGGUGCCAGAUGGAUGAGAUCUCGACGUGACAGGUAAAACUCAAAGGCUAAUGGAAGAAAAUUGCAUUUAUUUUAUGACCAAGUAUUAGAUUAAAACCUCUUGGGACACAAACCAGUGGAACUCUGUAACUGCAAACCUUUCUCAGGUAAGUAAUUGUCAACAGGCCUUUCAGGAGGAACUCUUGAAAUGUUUUUAAAAUUAAUAACAGAUUGACAAAGUUGUAGAAAGACAACUGGUGAAAAUUUAACCUUCCUAAAAUCUAAGUUUUCAAUGGCUAUGAAUCAAGAGAAUGAAAAAUUUUGAACUUAGUUAUAAGGAAUGUAAAGAAAUGACCAUUCCAGCAGACUGAUGAGAAUCAUAAAAGAGAGGCUCAGCAGACGAGGUGAUAGCAGGCCUGAAGUAGAGAAGAGAAACCCAAAACUUCCUUUAGCCGCACGGCUAGUGGCUCCAGGGAUGCCUAGUGAAAUAACGUUGGAAGUUAUUACAAAUACCGCAGCACACAGCGCUCAUAGUUUGCAGCAAAGAACUGUGCCCAAGCUAAUUUAGAGGAGUGUGUUUACAGUUCUUAUUCCAGAUGGCCUUCAUUAAGUUAUUCUCGAUGACUCCUUUUGUGAUCGUUAUUAAGCGUUGAGUUAAUGAGCUUCUCUGGUUUUAAUGUCUAUAUCCAAUUGAUCUCAGUUGGUGUAUUAACCAUGCCUUUUAUUUUCUGAUGCUUUGACAUCUUGGGACCUUGCUGCCCCUGGAGGGAGGGACUACCUGGAUAGCAAACGACUCGCCUGUGAGUGCCUUUCAUCUGCAAGCCAGCCAUAGAGAGCCCAAAGUCCUCAAGCACCCCCUCUGUGGACUCUCACGUUCUGGGCCCCCACACACCCAUGCGCAUCACCACGGGGCCAGGUACCAGACGACAAGGUAUGGAUCCUAUGCCCCAAGCCUGCUGACAUUAUUCAGACUAGUCAAUCCUAAACCUGUCUACACUGCCUCACCAGUUCCUUCCCAUGAAAACCGCAAUAAAUGCUCUUGCUCACAUUUUCCCACUCCCUCAGCCUCCUGACCAAACCUGGUGCUUUCUUUGUGGCCCCUCGUGGUGUAGUCUGCCCCUUCCUCCUGAGAUCUAUAUUUUAGGAGACGAGGAGCCCCAAGCUGGAUUGGAAGGCGCCUCUGGUCCUCCUCCUCUCUGCGUCACAGAACCAGAGCUCUCUCUUCCCUUCCAGACCCCACUGCCCCCCCCGCCCCAAGAGUCAAGGGGUCUGGAGAGCGGUCUACUCACUUCUCUGUGAGCCAGGAGAAAGCUGGAGAAGGAGCAAAGCCCUUCACCAAGAAAUGGGACGGUUACAAGGCAUCACAGUGGGGAUGAGCUGUCACCAGUUCUACAGGGAACAGCAGUGUCUCGGGUCCUCAUCCGCCAUAUUGGGUUCAGGCCCCAGAUGGGAUGUGUUGGUAAAAGGAAUACAGCAGGCCUCACCCAGUGCGGAAGCUACUCUCUUGGAUCAUCCCAACAUCCUGGACAAGCCUUGGCCUUCCCCUGAAGUCCAGAGGAGCAUGAGUGUUUGCAUAAAGCUGGGCUCGGUACCUUCUCUCAGAGGAAGUUUUCCCUUUUUUGUGGAGGGAGAUGGCAAUCUUUGCCAAUCUGUUCCAGCCAAUGAUCAACAGAGACGUGCUUUUCUCGCAUCUGGCUUUGACGAUGUAAUGGAAUGCAGGGCGUCCAUUUCUCCUUUCUUCGUGCUUAUCACGCCGCCCUGGUCCUUGCGCUGAAACAGCCAUUCUGCCUUGUAUGGCUUGGCUGUCUUUCCAGUGCUGCCCUUAUUCUGAGUAUUUUCUGUUGCACUUUGCUGGAAUCGUAUAUAUGCAGUAAAAUCACCGAACCGAGGAAGAUCUGCUUGCCUGGGGGUCCCACAAGGCAAGCAGCAUCCAGAGGAGCAACUCAUCAUGGAUGCGGUGAUGUCUCAGUCACACUGUGACUGUGCGCCCCGGUUCAAUCAACUCCGCCGCAGACGUAAUUCACUGUGGAUCCCUUUCGUUUCGCUUAUCGUCAGAAUGAAUACACACAGGAACCCCUUUAGCCCCCACCGUUUGUCAUCGGCUGCCACGUUAAACAUUGAUUUUAUUUUCCCAGGUCAGAAAUGAUGAAAUCAAUAUCUAACACGGCCAGUUGUAUUUGCUCGUACCUUUUCAUUCAGAUUCCCUGACAAAUUUUAAACAUUUUACACUGCAUUUAAUUUAAGGAUUAAGUCUGUAAGCUUGUAGAUUUAAAUGUCAGUAAAGGUUAAGAAUUAAUUGUACAUGAAACUGACUACAUUAAAUUUUAAAGCGAGAGUAGUUAUUAUUAAACACACGUGGAGGUAUUGCGUUAUUUUAUUGUUAUGAUCCAUUCAUUAGUUCAUUUGCCCAUUAUUCAUUUGGCAUACAUUAAUGCAGCAUUUGGUAUUUUUCA